GAAUGAAGGUGCUGACUUGGUGGAGGGAAGACGGACUCGUGGAGACCAGAGGGGGCUGGAGCCCCGCCAAGUUGGGGGAGCCACCAGAACCCAGGGAGUCUGACACCCCCACUGGCCUGGGCCUAGGGUGAGGACAUGACAGGGAUCCGGAGCAAGCUGCCUCUGGGAUACCACACAACUCAGGCCUGCACUGAUCCCCAGGGUAGGAGCAACAACACCCAGGCUGGCACCUGGCUCUCCCCCUCCCUGCCACUCGCUCGGCAAAUACCACCCCCACCCAGGACUGCGUGUGCAAAGCCAUGGCUCCGCCGUGGCCACCGUGGGUACACAAAAGCCGGGCUGGACCUGCAACCCACAGCCUCGGCCCUGGAGCUGCGCUGGCAAGCAAGCCUGGCCUACCUCGGGGGUGGAGGGUGGGACGAGGCCCCCGGCAACAAACCUAGCCCCGUUCUGCAGAGGCUGGAGCCGGCCUGGGAAAGCAGCCCCCAAAUGACCUCUGCAGGAACUUCCGGGGGUUGGGAAGAGUUCCAGAUCUUGGUGCCUGAUGAGACUGUUGGCGCCGAAGGGAGAGCAUUUCAAACCCAGCCUGCCUCACAGACAAGCCAUGGGCAGAGCCCUCUUUGCC